rnacentral:rRNA from 1 species
UACGUAGGGCGCAAGCGUUGUCCGGAAUUAUUGGGCGUAAAGAGCUCGUAGGUGGUUUGUCGCGUCUGCCGUGAAAGCCCGGGGCUUAACUCCGGGUCUGCGGUGGAUACGGGCAGACUAGAGGCAGGUAGGGGAGAACGGAAUUCCUGGUGUAGCGGUGGAAUGCGCAGAUAUCAGGAAGAACACCCGUGGCGAAGGCGGCUCUCUGGGACGGUACUGACGCUGAGACGCGAAAGCGUGGGGAGCGAACAGG